rnacentral:rRNA from 1 species
UACGAAGGGGGCGAGCGUUGUUCGGAUUUACUGGGCGUAAAGGCGCGCAGGCGGCGCAUUUUGUCAGGCGUGAAAGCCCCGGGCUUAACCUGGGAACUGCAUUUGUGACUGCAUCGCUGGAGUGCGGCAGAGGGGGAUGGAAUUCCGCGUGUAGCAGUGAAAUGCGUAGAUAUGCGGAGGAACACCGAUGGCGAAGGCAAUCCCCUGGACCUGUACUGACGCUCAUGCACGAAAGCGUGGGGAGCAAACAGG